rnacentral:rRNA from 1 species
CUACGGGAGGCUCCAGUGAGGAAUUUGCGCAAUGGGCGAAAGCCUGACGCAGCAACGCCGCGUGAGUGAUGAAGGCCUUCGGGUCGUAAAGCUCUGUCAAGUGGGAAGAACCUAUGUAAUGUUAAUAUCAUUAUAUACUGACGGUACCACUGAAGGAAGCACCGGCGAACUCCGUGCCAGCAGCCGCGGUAAUACGGGGGGUGCAAGCGUUAUUCGGAAUCAUUGGGCGUAAAGGGCACGUAGGCGGCCUGGUAAGUCAGAUGUGAAAGCCCGGGGCUUAACCCCGGAAGUGCAUUUGAUACUGUCAGGCUUGAGUAUGGGAGAGGGAAGUGGAAUUCCUGGUGUAGAGGUGAAAUUCGUAGAUAUCAGGAGGAACACCGGUGGCGAAGGCGACUUCCUGGACCAAUACUGACGCUGAGGUGCGAAGGCGUGGGUAGCAAACAGGAUUAGAUACCCCUGUAGUC